GCCUAGUUAGCUUAGUUGGUAGUGCGUCUGCCUUGUAAGCGCUAGGCCGCGGGUUCGAUUCCCGCCCGAGGCG
rfam:Asian citrus Psyllid, Diaphorina citri - Florida Strain, whole genome shotgun sequence.